rnacentral:tRNA from 1 species
GGAGGUAGAGCUCAGUGGUAGAGCACAUGCCUAGCAUGCAUGAGGUCCUGGGGUCAAUCCCCGGUACCUCCA